rnacentral:rRNA from 1 species
UACGUAGGGACCAAGCGUUGUUCGGAUUUACUGGGCGUAAAGGGCGCGUAGGCGGUGCGGUAAGUCACUUGUGAAAUCUCUGAGCUUAACUCAGAACGGCCAAGUGAUACUGCAGUACUAGAGUGCGGAAGGGGCAAUCGGAAUUCUUGGUGUAGCGGUGAAAUGCGUAGAUAUCAAGAGGAACACCUGAGGUGAAGACGG